UGGGGAAUAUUGCACAAUGGGCGCAAGCCUGAUGCAGCCAUGCCGCGUGUGUGAAGAAGGCCUUCGGGUUGUAAAGCACUUUCAGCGGGGAGGAAGGCGUUAAGGUUAAUAACCUUGGCGAUCGACGUUACCCGCAGAAGAAGCACCGGCUAACUCCGUGCCAGCAGCCGCGGUAAUACGGAGGGUGCAAGCGUUAAUCGGAAUUACUGGGCGUAAAGCGCACGCAGGCGGUCUGUCAAGUCGGAUGUGAAAUCCCCGGGCUCAACCUGGGAACUGCAUUCGAAACUGGCAGGCUAGAGUCUUGUAGAGGGGGGUAGAAUUCCAGGUGUAGCGGUGAAAUGCGUAGAGAUCUGGAGGAAUACCGGUGGCGAAGGCGGCCCCCUGGACAAAGACUGACGCUCAGGUGCGAAAGCGUGGGGAGCAAACAGG
rnacentral:rRNA from 1 species